UACGAAGGGGGCUAGCGUUGCUCGGAUUCACUGGGCGUAAAGGGUGCGUAGGCGGGUCUUUAAGUCGGGGGUGAAAUCCUGGAGCUCAACUCCAGAACUGCCUUUGAUACUGAAGAUCUUGAGUUCGGGAGAGGUGAGUGGAACUGCGAGUGUAGAGGUGAAAUUCGUAGAUAUUCGCAAGAACACCGGUGGCGAAGGCGGCUCUCUGGACCGUAACUGACGCUGAGGCGCGAAAGCGUGGGGAGCAAACAGG
rnacentral:rRNA from 1 species